AAAGAGGCGGCACAAAAGUUAUAGUUUCACAUUGCAGCUUUGCGGGGUGGGGAUCUCCCUUUCGAUAUUUCUCCUAGACUAGCUUCAGAUUUUGAUCAUUCGGAGAUUUUACAGAAGGAAAAGGCCCAUGUAAAUUAGCUUGCUUUUUGAUUCUUUGGUUGAGAAAGUGUUCCAGAGGCUCAGACACGACCUCACCUCUAGAGUUUGAUAGCAAAUCUUGAUUCAAGGGUGAGCACUCCAUAUCCAGGCUAUCAUGGGUCAUCUUUUUUAUUCUUUACAUCUUUCAGGCAAUGCAACAUUCUUUAUUUACUUUAUUUUUGGAUAUCUCUUU